UCGCACAAGGGGUGCGUUUUUAUGCUGUUUAACCAUACCAGCGUAGUAGAUAGAACCUACAUUGGACUUCUUUAAGGAGAAAUAUAAAAUG
rnacentral:ncRNA from 1 species